UACAGAGGGUGCUAGCGUUGUUCGGAAUCAUUGGGCGUAAAGGGCGUGUAGGCGGUUUGUUAAGUCAUGUGUGAAAUCCCUCGGCUCAACCGGGGAACGACGCAUGAAACUGGCAAGCUAGAGUACCAAAGAGGGGGGUGGAAUUCCCGGUGUAGCGGUGAAAUGCGUAGAUAUCACUUGGAACGCCAAUGGUGAAAACAGCUCGCUGGGAAUGAAUCUGACACUGAGACGCGAAAGCCAGGGGAGGCGAACGGG
rnacentral:rRNA from 1 species